rnacentral:lncRNA from 1 species
UUGCCAUGGCAACAACAACAAACUCCUUUCUAAGUGAACAAGUGUGACUCAUUAAGCAGGCCAGAGAUUGACACUGUUUAUCAAAUUUGAUUUCUUUUGCUAAGACAAACUAGAUUUAUUUUAUUCCUGCUACUGUUUUUUGUGGAAAUUGGAGGGAUAUUUGAAGAAAACGGUUAUUCCACUUGGUUCUCUUCAGGAAAUGCAGCUCAAGGGUCUAUGAUGCCGAUCUCUUCAGGAGCAACUGGGCAUGUGGGAGUAGGGGUUGACAGCUCUAUAAAAUGGGCGCCCGAAGGAUACAGACAGGAUGCCGAGCUUUCCCCAAGGAACUGUGAUUCUUAUUUGGAGAGGUAUUUAGAAACUCACGCCAGUGCCAGAAAAAGAAACAACAGUGACAAAGCUGUGAUAAUCACACACCAGAAUACACACAGCCUUAAAUCUGGUGCUGCUGGUGAGGAAAUGAACACUGACAGAAAGGGCCACAACGAUAAAACUGUUACAGAUCAGAAGAAUGGCAAAAGUGAUGGUGAUGUCUCAGGAAAUGACCCUAGUAAAACAGCAUCAAACAAAUCAUCAGCCUGUAAUAUUUUAUAAGGACAUUAACUUCAUGUCAUAAACUUUCGCUGGUAAAUGGAUGCUCUUCCCAGGGAAAAAGAUCUGUUCCCUUAUAACUAUUUGAUAUAUACAGUAUUACACAAGUAAUUACACAAAUUCUUAAUAGUCAUUGUAUUAUAUUUACCAUAGAUGUACCAAAAUAACUUGCCUAUGAAUAUUAAAAACGUUAUUUGUAUGGCAUAUUUAGUUUUCCAUCCUAAAAUUCUGUUUAUAAAUUUAGGAAUUCAUUUUCAAUCCAAAUUUCUAAAUGGAUUUUAUUUUAUUGGAUACAAGGCAAACAUGACAUAAAUAAACACAUUUUUAAUUAUGCUAAAUGAUC